GUAUGAAAUGAUGCUCAACCAUCUUUCGGGACUGACCUUUUAUGGAGAUAUUAUAUAAAUGUGACUGAUCAUAC